rnacentral:rRNA from 1 species
AGGAUGAACGCUGGCGGCGUGCUUAACACAUGCAAGUCGAACGAUGAAGGCUGGAGCUUGCUCUGGCUGGAUUAGUGGCGAACGGGUGAGUAACACGUGAGUAACCUGCCCCAGACUCUGGGAUAAGCGCUGGAAACGGCGUCUAAUACCGGAUACGAGCUUCCACCGCAUGGUGAGGAGCUGGAAAGAAUUUCGGUCUGGGAUGGACUCGCGGCCUAUCAGCUUGUUGGUGAGGUAAUGGCUCACCAAGGCGACGACGGGUAGCCGGCCUGAGAGGGUGACCGGCCACACUGGGACUGAGACACGGCCCAGACUCCGUACGGGAGCAGCAGGUGGGGAAUAUUGCACAAGU